rnacentral:lncRNA from 1 species
GACAGUUAUUAUAGUUCCUUUGGUAAAUCUACAUGUCCUGGUUUUUUUUACCAUCUUAUUUAAAUCUUGGUAAUCAGCUCUCUUUAUAUAUACCCACACACACACUUAUAAUGUUUAUAAUAGUGUGAUAGCAGAAUGUAUCUUUUUUUUUUUGAGUUUUCCCUACUUUCCAAUUUAUUUUAAAAUGGUAGCUAUGAAUGUAUGCAUUUAGAAUACAAGACUAGUAGUUUAUAUUUCACAAGUAGUCUAAAUCCGGUUGGGGUAGUGUGCAGGUGGUGGU